ACGCGUCCAUCGGUAACGUGACCGGCUCCAAUGCGGUGAACGUGUUCCUGGGCCUGGGUGUGGCCUGGUCGGUGGCCGCAGUGUACUGGGCGGUGCAGGGUCGCCCCUUCGAGGUGCGUACAGGCACGCUGGCCUUCUCGGUCACACUGUUCACCGUCUUCGCCUUCGUGGGCAUCGCAGUGCUCUUGUACCGGCGCCGGCCCACAUCGGCGGCGAGCUGGGCGGCCCGCGGGGACCCAAGCUAGCCACCACCGCUCUCUUCCUGGGCCUCUGGUUCCUCUACAUUCUCUUCGCCAGCCUGGAGGCUUAUUGCCACAUUCGGGGCUUCUAGGGCCCCAGCCGCUACCCUGAGGGUGGGGACUUGUUGGCACUUGCUCUUGGACCCACCCCUGUCUCCCUACCCAGACUCAACCUGGGUACUUCCU
rnacentral:lncRNA from 1 species